rnacentral:rRNA from 1 species
GGCGGCGUGCCUAAUACAUGCAAGUAGAACGCUGAAGGAGGAGCUUGCUUCUCUGGAUGAGUUGCGAACGGGUGAGUAACGCGUAGGUAACCUGCCUGGUAGCGGGGGAUAACUAUUGGAAACGAUAGCUAAUACCGCAUAAGAGUAGAUGUUGCAUGACAUUUGCUUAAAAGGUGCAAUUGCAUCACUACCAGAUGGACCUGCGUUGUAUUAGCUAGUUGGUGGGGUAACGGCUCACCAAGGCGACGAUACAUAGCCGACCUGAGAGGGUGAUCGGCCACACUGGGACUGAGACACGGCCCAGACUCCUACGGGAGGCAGCAGUAGGGAAUCUUCGGCAAUGGACGGAAGUCUGACCGAGCAACGCCGCGUGAGUGAAGAAGGUUUUCGGAUCGUAAAGCUCUGUUGUAAGAGAAGAACGAGUGUGAGAGUGGAAAGUUCACACUGUGACG